rnacentral:rRNA from 1 species
AACGUAGGUGGCAAGCGUUAUCCGGAUUUACUGGGCGUAAAGCGCGCGCAGGUGGUGGCGUAAGUUGGGUGUGAAAUCUCCUGGCUCAACUGGGAGGAGUCGCUCAAGACUGCGUUGCUUGAGGUCGAGAGAGGAGUGCGGAAUUCCCGGUGUAGUGGUGGAAUGCGUAGAUAUCGGGAGGAACGCCAGUGGCGAAAGCGGCACUCUGGCUCGCACCUGACACUGAGGCGCGAAAGCGUGGGGAGCAAACGGG